CAGCAUGGACAGCUAUUGUCUGUUGGAGGUUGGCAGAGAGUAGGCACCAAGAGCCCUUCAAAACACAUGACCUUCCUGCUCACAACAUAAAGACCAGUUCCCUCUGGCCUCUACAGUUUGGCUCAGCACCAGGGAACCUGUGUCCUCUCUGAGACCAAGGCACCACUCCAGUGACAGGUUUCCUGAGGUGAAUGAAGUCAGAAGUGGCAUUCAUGAAGCUGUGAAUAUCUCCAGAUUAUCCAGGUGUUCUCACUGCAGCUGGAACAGGAUGGAAGUGAUGACAGAAGAAAGAUACCAGUCCAUUUCUCUCCCCCUGCCACCCCAACUCAAAUUCUGGGCCACAUCCUCCAGGAAGAUCUCUGUCCCGUGGAAGCCCCUGGCCUGGCCUCCCGCAGUGCCACGCUCCGUGUAUUUGACAAGCUGAGUUGGACACUCCGUGUGGUAGAGUGUCAGUUUGUCAAAUACCCCAAGUGCGGCACAUGCUUAGCAGCUCCAUACCAGGGCAGAUGGAAUACAACAUAUUUGCUGCCAAGUGGAUGUAAGAAUGCUCAUUAAACAACAAGGUCUCCUAAUUUAUUUUUUUGUAACUUUGAGGGAACCCAAGCAAUGCAUCUGAGGGUUUCAGGGGGAAAGUGCAGCAUCUCUGGUAAUUACAGCCCUGGUCUUCGUCUACACACAUCAUGAGAAUGCCUAGGAGCACACAAUAGUCUUGAAAAGACAUAAGGGAUACAGGGAUAGACGUGCUCUUUGAUUUGUUAUUCUCUUCUUUCUUCACAUUCCCCUUCCAGAGUGUCACAGUCAGGACACCAGAAUCAAAUACUACAGGUUAUAUGAGAAAGCUGGGCAUGGAAAUCCACUCUUUUUAUGUUCAUUCUUGUCUUCUAAACACAGACUGGCUUUUCUACCUCUUCCUUUUUUCCUCAAACCUCUUCUUGAAACAACUUCUCCAUUUCUCUUGGCCUAAUUCUUUCCCAUACUUCCUGGCCCCACCACAGUGUAGUCUCCCCAGGGACUUUUGAAAGUCAUCCCAUGCUUACCCUUCUUCACUUGCACAGCACUCCUUGCCUGAGUCCUGUUAUAUGCCCCAAUAUCUCAUUCCACCCAAUAUAAUCUUUUGGAUCAUGAGUGAACUUUUCCAAGGCUUACUCUUGAAUUCCCCACUAUAUUUUGAGCUUCUAGAAGACAAGAAUAUAUCUCCUUGAUUGCUAUCUCCCCUACCAUAACCCCAUAUUUUGGUUACGGAAAAUAUUCAAUAAAUGUUUGCUGAUUGAUUGACUUUCUA